rnacentral:rRNA from 1 species
CUCCCAUUCCCCAGAUCCAAUCGAGGCACCCCGCCGCCCCCGCCUUCCUUUCCCUCGCUCGUCUCAUCUCCCUCCCGCGAUUCCCACUGCCGUCACCCCCACCCACCACCGCCGACCUCGUCUCCGCCAUGCACCCCUCGCCUUCCUCUGCGGCUCCAAGGCUCGGCGCUCGGCGAGGGGGAAGCGGUGAGGCCGAGGUGGAGGACGGGGAUGGGGUGCAUGUUCGACUACUUCCGUGCGGCUGCGCCCAGCUCGCCUCGGAUCUAGGCUCAACGGAGCGGAGAUGAAUAUCACGAUGCUCGUCGUGUUGAGGCCGUCGGCCGGAGGCGCCGGGGGAUCCUCCUCCAGCGGCGGGUAGGGCUCCGAGGCGCUCGUGCUGGCCAACGCCACGGACGUCAGCCACUUCGGCUUCUUCCGGCGCGGCGCCGCACGCGAGUUCAUCGUCUUCGUCGCCCGCACCGUCGCCCAGCGCACCCAGCCAGGCCAGCGCUAGUCCGUCCAGCACGAAGGACAAUGGAAGUCCUUUGUUCGGAGAGAGAAACCAAGUUGAAGUGAGUGGAAAAUACUUCGGUGCAUCCUGGAGUCCAGCUACUGUUCUUAAAGUGAUUGGUGCUUCACAUUUUCUAGUACAGUACAUGCAUACUGAAAAUGAUGGGUACACGGAGUUUUUUGAAACAGAAACUUGUUCAUGGCCCUACUUGUGUCGGACAGCAAGUGCCAAACUUGAAACAGAAACUUGUAGUAGCGGGCCUGGAGCUUAGUUCUUCAAGCAUAACCUUUUAAAGCAGAAAUCAAUGCACCUCAUUGUUAUAUUUUUUUGUUUGCCCUACAGCUUUAAGCACUGUUGGUACAAUGUGAACUGGACUUCUUGGGGUGACUGGAUUUUGGGCAAACUUUGUUGCUGAUAUUGGCCAAACUUUAUGAUACAGAGUUUUGGUUCCACUUCUUGGUGGAGCGAUGUGCAUGUGCACCUGGCAUUUCUUCUACAACUCAGUCUCUCGAGGUAACAUAUUGACCUGAAGGCAAAGCUACACCACAGGACUGAACCAUACCGUACGCCGGGCGUGGUCGUGCUACUAACCGCCAGGCCACCGACGCUGGCGCCGGUGCCGACCCCGACCAGAGAUCCGUCGCCGCCCAGGACCCCAAGCUACUGGACGACUUCGCAGACACCGAAGCCAACACCAAAGUUUAAUUACCACCUCCAAAUCAAAUCCUGGGGCUUCAUUCAUGGCUGUCUAGUACUGCUAGUUAAUCCUGGGGCUUAUUUACCAUCAGUUAGUACACUAUCCAGUACUGCUAGUUCUCAUCUCACUUGUUGUGCUUCUUGGACUGGGAGCACUCUUUGUUAUCCAAGAUCUAACAUGAAAGGCAACAUGGUGACUCUAGUGUAGGCAACACUGGCCAUCCUCUUCGAGGCUGUGUGUUUAGGUGAUUCCUCGGGUAGCCAUGACAGUACACUGGCUGAUUAGUGCCCAGUGGCAUGUUUCUAAUAUUUACAGGGAUUUCCUUUAUAGGAAUAAUGCUCAUGGACGAGCUGCAGCGGGACAACUUGGAGAGCAAGUACUUUGAGGACAAGAUCAAGGAGAACCAAGAGAAGAUCACCGGUUACCUCAUACUUCUCGGCAUGCCUAGCAACUUUGGCAGAUCCCUCUUUGGCUUCGACCAAGUUACAUUUGUCACUAGCCAGCAGCAUUUACAGGUGUUGUCAGUUCUGGAAGAUGGAAGAGGAAGAAAAAUAAUUUUUGUUGAACUAAAUUUUCUGUAUUCUGUUUUGUUGUAUGUAUGAUUUGAUAGUUUUGUAUAGGAACAAGUGAUACUAUUUUGUAGGGCUUUAUGGCCUGUGUACUAUUUUGUAGGGCUUUAUGGCCUGUGAUGUAAACAUAUUUAGUGCUGAAUUAUGAAUUUUUUGAAAAAAUUAUUAGAAAGGAGAAUCAUUUGUAUGAAUCGCCAAAUAUAUGUGAGUGGGUUGAAAAGAGUAUUGGAU